AGUGAACGCUGGCGGUGGGCCUAACACAUGCAAGUCGAACGGCAGCACAGUAAGAGCUUGCUCUUACGGGUGGCGAGUGGCGGACAGGUGAGGAAUACAUCGGAAUCUACUUUUUCGUGGGGGAUAACGUAGGGAAACUUACGCUAAUACCGCAUACGACCUACGGGUGAAAGCAGGGGAUCUUCGGACCUUGCGCGAUUGAAUGAGCCGAUGUCGGAUUAGCUAGUUGGCGGGGUAAAGGCCCACCAAGGCGACGAUCCGUAGCUGGUCUGAGAGGAUGAUCAGCCACACUGGAACUGAGACACGGUCCAGACUCCUACGGGAGGCAGCAGUGGGGAAUAUUGGACAAUGGGCGCAAGCCUGAUCCAGCCAUACCGCGUGGGUGAAGAAGGCCUUCGGGUUGUAAAGCCCUUUUGUUGGGAAAGAAAAGCAGCAGGUUAAUACCCCGCUGUUCUGACGGUACCCAAAGAAUAAGCACCGGCUAACUUCGUG
rnacentral:rRNA from 1 species